AGUGAACGCUGGCGGUAGGCCUAACACAUGCAAGUCGAACGGCAGCACAGUAAGAGCUUGCUCUUACGGGUGGCGAGUGGCGGACGGGUGAGGAAUACAUCGGAAUCUACUUUUUCGUGGGGGAUAACGUAGGGAAACUUACGCUAAUACCGCAUACGACCUACGGGUGAAAGCAGGGGAUCUUCGGACCUUGCGCGAUUGAAUGAGCCGAUGUCGGAUUAGCUAGUUGGCGGGGUAAAGGCCCACCAAGGCGACGAUCCGUAGCUGGUCUGAGAGGAUGAACAGGCAACAAUGGAAUGGGAAAACGGUCCAAAUUCCUAGGGGAGGAAGAAGUGGGGAAAAUUGGACAAUGGGCGAAGGCCGAAUCAGGCAAUACCGGGUGGGGGAAGAAGGCCUCCGGGUUGAAAAGCCCUUUUGUGGGGAAAAAAAGGAAGAAGGUAAAAACCCGGCGGUCCGAAGGGAACCAAAAAAAAAAGAACCGCUAACUUCGUG
rnacentral:rRNA from 1 species